rnacentral:rRNA from 1 species
UAUGUAGGGUGCGAGCGUUGUCCGGAAUUAUUGGGCGUAAAGGGCUCGUAGGCGGUUUGUCACGUCGGGAGUGAAAACUCGGGGCUUAACCCCGAGCCUGCUUCCGAUACGGGCAGACUAGAGGUAUGCAGGGGAGAACGGAAUUCCUGGUGUAGCGGUGAAAUGCGCAGAUAUCAGGAGGGACACCGGUGGCGAAGGCGGUUCACUGGGCAUUACCUGACGCUGAGGAGCGAAAGCGUGGGGAGCGAACAGG